GUUCCUCCUCCCCGGGAGUGUGAAUGAGUCACCGUGCAGGCAUUUCAGCAGCACCUGUGUGGGGUGUGGAGCUGCGGCAGAGGAGGGGAGAGAGGGGCAGGCUGGCCAGGAGGCCAGCUCGGGGGCUGCCCCACUCUCACCCAGGCCGGCUUCCCUAGAUGCCAGCUGUCCCGCUUCUGCCCCGACACUUGUUUUGGCCUUGGGAGGCUGUUUCAUGUGGAAAUCAUUUUCUGUUUAGCUGCUGUCUUCCCAAGCAGACGUAAGUGCCUGAACUGCCCAGGCUCCGUCAUAUGUAGCUUUUGGAGUUCAUGGUAGCUCCCACUUUUUCAGCCCCUAAGUAGUGAUGCCCGUUUUGCUCGAUGCCUCGAGUGACGCUUGAGGACUCUGGAAGAACUUGUUUUUUGUCUGUCUGCCAGAGGAUCUGGUCGAUCUUGGUCCCUGCUGUAUCCCCAGCACCCAGACCAUUGCCCAGCACAUGGGACCUGGCACCGAGAGGGUGCUCAAUAAAUAUUUGUGGAAUGCAUGCCUGGGUUCGUUCAGCAGAUCUUUCUGAGUGCCUACCCCAGGCCAGGCUCGGUGCUGGGUGCUUGGAACACAGAAAAAAUGGCAGAAAAAGGAAGCUGCAGCUUCUGCCCUUCUCUUGGAUCACUCACUCUGGGGCGAGCCCUCAACUGUAUCGUGAGAACACUUAAGAAACCCUGUGCAGACAUCCGCGUGGGGAAGAAGCAAGGCCUCCUGCUGACAGCUCUGCAUCAACCUGCUGGCCACGCGAGGGAGCCAUCUUGGAAGUGGAUCCUCCAGCCCCAGUCAAGCCUGCAGAUGAGUGCAGCCUCGGCCGGUGUCUCGAGUGCAACCUCAUCAGAGAGUCUGUCCAUGAACCACGCAGCUAAGCCACUCCCAAAUCCCUGAGCCACAGAAACUACGUGAAGAAAAACAGCCACUGCUACCCCUUCGAUGUCCCCAGAUUCGGCCUCCCCUACAAAUCUUCACACCUCUGCCUCCUUGAGCCCUCCAAAUAAAAGAAACUCCACAAGCUUGUUUUCUCCAGACCUUUUUAUUGAACUCUGCAGAUUUCAUUAAGGGACCAUUUGCUUAGAAAUUCUUAGACAUUUGGACAUAUUUUACAAGACAGGACAGCAGCUGGAGGUCACAAUUUCAUCUCGUCACAUGCAUAAAAAGACACUGGGAUUUUUUGAUGUUUGGUUCCUCGUGUGUGUGUGAUGCUCAUUUUCCCCUUUACAGGAAGGACUAGAGACGUCAACUGACAAGAGAUGAACAGGACCCACGAACGCGACCCCGAGACAAGAGCGGCUAAGGACAUUGGUCAUUUAUGGCUAAUGUGAUUGGCUUGGCCCCCAAAAUGGGUGGGGUGAUCAGAAUGGCUUUGCUGGCAGAAAAGCCGCAACAUCACACCGUGGUUCCUGGGAGAGGCAGAGGGUUUUAGCUAAUGGGAUCGGGGCGCAUGCUACCGUGGAGGGCACUGGGGCUCAGCAAAAACAAAGACCUUUUGGCUCUACAAGCUGGAGCACAGGCUGGCCCCCUUUCCAGCUGGACUCCUACGGCUCAGGGAAUGCGAUCCAGUUUCCGGAUGUCGGCUCCCACAUUCCUGCCCCCAGCAAGUCCCAGACCAGGGGAAACCCCUACUUUGGACCCUUGGCUUAGCCCAUUGGAAAACCACUUUGUGGUCUCCUAUGGACUACGUGUGAGUUACGCUAGAACGUGAGGCUGAAAAUUCACGGUAGGAGAGUAGGACGGAGGCUGGCCUGCCCCACGGCCCCCGGAAGUAUAGCUCUGGGAAGGCCACGCCCUUAAGGGUGGACAAGUGUCAGAUUUGGACAUCAACUUGGUCCCCAAUUGAGUGAAAGGCCAGAUGGCAUUGGCGAGGCUUAUGGGCUUUGAUGGAAGGGGCUCCCAAUUUCUCCUUCCUUCCCAGUUUGCAAUACCUCAAGCCAGGUAAGAAUUAAUGAGCUUCUCUACUCACUCACACAUUCACUCAUCCAUCCAUUCACUCGAGUCGACCAUGUACAUGUUCACUCACUUAAAAAAAACACAGUUUGGGUGACAACUAUGUGUCAAGGGCAUUCGCUGGGGGAUAACCCUGAGUUCCUGGUGCAGAAAAUGGUGUUCCCAGCCCUUGACUUUGGAUUGGAGCCAGGAUGGGUCUGGGGAGCAAACAGCCAGCUGCCCAGCCCGGCGGUUGCUGACGUCCCUCUUCCCCACCCGCUGGGCGCACCGAGCUCAGACGUCAAGCUCAUCUCCGAGAGAGCCCGAGGCCCUAGUGAAGACCAGGGCGCCACGAACCAAGCCGAGGAGAAGCCCGAAUCUCUUGGCCAUCUUCUCCUGGGCUUCCCUUCUUGUUCCCCAAACCUGGACUAGCUCAGGGAGGCAGGAAGUGUGGGGCAGUCCAUGCACGACCUUGAGAGCAUCCCAAUGGGACAGAAUUGGGAGUUUCCUUUGUUUUCCAGAAUGGUCAUGUCGCUGCAGCCACUCACUUGAGCCAUUCCUGCAGGACAGAGCCUCAAGGGGGAUCUGGGUUUUUGCUUCAUUUUGGUUUUGGGGGAAGGAGGCUCAGUCUACCCAUCCAAACCUCUCGCCCUGCCUCACCUCGAGAUAAAACCACCUGUGAUGGGCUGGAUUUGGGGUCACUCUGAGGAUGAAAUCCCACCUCCUCCAAACCCACCAGACACAAUUGGGAGGGGCUUUAAAACCUCUUUGGCCGAUCGCUCUCUCUGGAGGAUGCAGUGUCCAGACCCAGCUGGGAAGGGGCUGCCGACGUGGGAGCCUGGGCCUUCUGCCUGCAGGCAGCCAAAGCCUUAUUUGGUUGUAAAGCUGGAUUAUGGCUGCCUCUCUCUUUGGGCCCUUCUAGACUUACUUCAUUGGGUGCGGACUUUCAAAGGUCUUGAAUGGGUUUUCCUGUUUUAUUUGCCAGAAAGAAAAGCCCUUUGGUAAUGGUGGCAUUUGCUAUUGCCCGGGUAGUUUGUUCAUUAGGCAGCUGGCUAGUGAGUAAAAGAAAAUUGUGUCUCUUGUACAGACAGCCUCAGACCUAGGAGGGCACAGGGUCUGGGCAGAAGGGCGGAAGCACCGUGAGAGGCCCAGCCAGAUGGGGGUUCCUCCUUGGCUGGCCUGCGGGGGUGGGUAGCAUGGGCCUCAUCCUAGCCAGUGCGACACCUGUUAGGGCACUGGGGAUGGGCUGGAUGGGUGACCGACAAGGUCAUUAAAAUUGUCCAAGAUGGGGAGCAGAGAGGAAGCAUCCUGCUGCCACCUCCCUCCCUGGCAGCCCCUCAGAAAGCUCCAAAUCCUAGAAUUUGAGUUCCUGCUAACUGUGUUCCCUGCCUUUGCCUCAGUGGCUUGAGUCUGUGCCUAGAUGUUCAAACCACACACACACACACACACACCCAAGAAAGAGAGAGAGAAAGAGAGAAUUUCCCUGGUUGUUCGGUCCAGUUGCCAGGCAAUGCUAGGAUCCCUCCACAACACCCAUUUUGUACAGCAUCUAGCCUCUAUUUAAACACCUGUGGUGUCAGGGAGCUCAUUACCCAACACGGCAUUGAGUUCCACGGUCAGGCAGCCUGGCCUGUGAGAAGAGCUUCCUUCAUUUGAGCUGGAACUGAUGCCCUGACCCUCUCACGCAAGUUCAUGCAGCCAUCCUGCAAGCUACUGGUUUCUUCUUUGGGUGAACUGCCCCCCUCCUCCCCAUCCUGGCCAGCCUUCAGGAGAGCUUUUCAGGAUCUUUGCAGGGAGAAAUGCAGAGUAAGAGUUAGAGGUAAAGAUGAGGGGCCGCUCGGUUAACAGAGCCCCUUCCAAAUUCAUUUCUUCAGAAUGGCAUUUGGGGGAGUUCUGGAGAAAUUCCAGGUUAAGACAACAUCAGGGCCAGUGGGUAGAAACCCCAACCAUACAACCUCUUUCUGGAUGAGAGCAGCCUCAGGCAAGGGUAUCUGCUUCUCUGGGCAUCAGACCUAGCAGAUAACUAGGAGAUAAUUUUUUCUGUUGUUCUUGAGCAUAAGUUUUAAAAAAUCAUGUCUGUUUUAUUUGGCUCUGAUUCAAACCAGACGACCAGGAAUUUUAGGGUUAGAAAACUCUGAUUAGGGUCACAGCCCAGGAUAAUAACUUUGUACAUGGGUUGGUUUCCUUUUGGGGUUGAUCCAGUGGUGACGGUUCGCUGCCAUCUGGGGGGUCCUGAUCGGUCCUGAUCUGGACAGGCCUGCGCCCUGGAACUAGAGUGAGGCAGGCGGGAUAUGAAAACCUAAAUGGACGCCAGCUGCAGAUCACCUGGUCUUUGUUCCUCUUCUUGCAUGAGUUGAUGGAUGCAGAAUCAUUUUCUUCUGAAGAUCCGGCUUCACGAGAUGUCCUCUGCCCAUCUGAGGCUAAAAAGUGCCUCGUGGAAUUAAAUAUCAGGACAGUCCAGAAACUCCCCUAGGCCUGGAUAGGUGAAAGCUGGAAAAAUACCACUGCCUGCUUUCUGGAGCCAGGCAGCUGGAAAGGGAAGUGGAGAUGAGACGGCAGAUUCUGGGCACACGGCUUCUCAGAGUGUGGCUGCAAGUGUGUCUGGCCACUGUCUUUUUGGUGAGGCUGUUAGAAACGGAUUGAAAUGAGGAACUAAUAGAAAGGUGAUAAGAUCUGAGGCCCAGCAUGUCUUCUGAGGUCCACAAGAACCUGAAAAUUUUCUGACCUUCAGGAAAUUUUCUGACCCAAUUGAUGUCACAGGAGAGUGGGGCUCUGAACAUGGCAACAGGCCAGCCGAGAGGGGCUUAGGAGUGUUCUGGACCUCAGAAAUGCCAGCAGAAAGUGUGCUUGCAAGAGAUUUUCAGUUUUAAGACCUCUGGGGAUGAGAAAACUCAGUCCCUUCAGAUCCCCGAAGCAGUGUACGGGAUGAGCUAAAAACAUCCCACAUCCCAUCCUGAUUGGGACGGCCACAUGUAGCUCUGCUCCCUGGUCUCACUCCUGCAUCCUUGCCCUGGAUUCAUGAUAACAAUAAACAAGAGAAACAUACAGACGGAAUGAGGGAAGCAACAGUGUCAACAGACUCUAGACCUAGUGUCAGGAAAUGCCUGCAUGAGGGUCAGACCCCAGAGUCUUUCUCCACCCCCAGAAAAUCAGAAUCAAAAGGAAGAAAAGAAAAAACAGCCCAAGGGGCAAUGGGAAGAGAUGAAAAAGACCAGAAAAUAUCAGCUACAGUAAUGACCAACAAUAAAACUCCUAAGACAUUCUGUAUUACAAAAGAAGAAUUAGACUCAAUGGCCCUAUUAUAAAUUUGCUAAAAAUACAUAUACAAUAUAUUUUUAUCUGAACAGAAAAAUGGACUACUCUGAGAUGUGUGGACGUCCUAUGACGCAGUCACACAUCAGAUACUUCUAGAGCCAGAAGAAUGGCAACAGAAAAUGCAGAGGUAACUCUUAUUUCUGGGUGUAGCCACAUCUGGUCUGGGUCGUCCCGGCCGAGUGAAAGCAUUUGGAUGCUGUCAUAUAAGGAGUGAGAGGCGGGGAGACUUCUGUUCAGGGCUGGAGAUUCUUCACCGUCCUGCUGGGGGUCUUAACGGAGCCCCCUUCUUCCCACCAACUUCACAGCCACAGAGCAAGGCCUUUCCCAAAGGAUCAUGUCCCAGAGGCAUUUCGCCAUGCUGUUAUUUGGUUCAAAGUUACUUGACUGGAGGCCGAAGCUCAGGGUUGUGUUACUUGAGACUAGUUGGCAGAGAAAUAAGGAAAGGAGAGAGAGAGAGGCCUGGCUUUAGUGACCCUUGUCUGUGGUGAAUUUUAAACUCGCCCUUCCCCACGGACUAGACACUCCAGCCACGACUUGGAGCAAGACAGAAGUAUACAAUAGUUACAAACAUCAACGAUACAUUGCAGUCUUACAGAAGAGAAUACUGUUUUGUGUUUUUCUCCUUAGAAAUGUGAAUCUUAUUAGGAGAAAGGGCAAGGAUGAGGCUACAGUUACGAAGACACGGUGGAGGAGAGGUCGGGAAUCAGUUUGAAAAAGUUUGUAUCACUCCGGGGUUCUCUGGGGAAAGCCGGGCGGGUUGAAAGGAAAUGGCCUCCUCAGGACGUUGCUGUCUCCGUCGUCUUUUUUUUCCUUCUUGAUCCCCAAUGUUUUUAGAGAAAUGGCCUCCACGGGAACGAAUGUCCUGUUCCCCGCUUUUCUUUCCCCAUGAAGUGUGCUUAAGAUCAAACCCCUAACGAAGGCACUGAGAAAUCUACUGCAUGGAUGUCCUGCUGUUUUCCGUGACCCAAAGAUAAAAAGGUGAAUAAACGGGUCCCUCCAGGACUUGCCCAGCUUUCUCCUCUGGUGGCAGACCAUUGCCCCUGGGAUUGGGACACACAGCUACCUGGUCCCUAGCCCUUUCUGAUAGUGGUGGAAGUUGGAACUCGAGUUCGGCUGGGUUCUUGACAAGUUUCACGGAAUUCGCCAAAAGGACCAGGCGUCCAUCCACUUGUAGCCCCAGCUUUGUUUCUUUGGGUUGACUUGUUUUUUUUCCCCGCUUUCGUUGGUUCAGGAAUGGGUGGGACGUGGACCACCAUGUCAAAGCAGCAUUUGCCUCCAGACUCUUGCUUUCCUCUCAUCCAUCAGGACCUGUCCAUCAAG
ensembl:lncRNA